GUAUGCCAGAAGAUACCUCAGGACAGAGAUGUUUCUGGAGUUGAUGAGUUGACCAAGGUUAUGAAAUGUGUGUGCAAGCUGCUUCCUUCCCAAUUUCCAGCCCAUGGAAGGUUCUGCAAGAUUGACCAUGUAAUGUCUUGGAAGUUGCGAAAUUGGACUGCUGAGAACAAAAGGUCAAAAUGGUGCCCAAAGGCUCCUGGGUGUUUUAUAACCACUCCUACACGCAGUGGUAAUAAUUCCUGUCAAGGAAGUACAGGAUGCAGCUUGCCAAAACCUUUCAUUGCUGCUCUCGCUUCUCCCAUUGGUUUCACGUGGUGGUGGAGUUCAGGGGUGCUGGAUGCUUUGAGUUCCACGCUGCAGAUGGGGCUCAGCCGAUGUUGGGACAUGUCUGUUGUUACCACAUCUCAUUUUGUCAGGGAGCAUGUUCUCUCCUUAGUCCAGUCCUGCAAACACUUCUGUAUUUGCAUAGCUGUAAGCACCUAUUGCAGAACUACUCACAUGUUUAUUAUGAUUUAAAAAAAAAAAAAAAGGUUGCAGUCACAUACUGUGGUCUGAAAAUUCUUUAGGACAAUUCUUGCUGGUUAGUAUACAAAGGUAAGCACGUUGUUUAAGCAGAAUCUGUUUAAUGAAGGCCCACCUGUAUGUACUGAGGCAUGAAAGAAGGGGGUUGGCUUUUAACAAGGAUGCACUGAGUAAUGCUAAAGUGACACCUCUGAAAAGAAAGGACAUGGCACCCUAAAAAUAAUCGCUACUGAAAGCUGUUCAGCUUCCUGAAUGCAUGCAUUUGUAUUACAAAAAGCUUCUUUAAUCACUGGUUGAACAAGUUACGUAUCCUUUCUUCACUUCUAAGUUUCUGGAGAGUAGCAGGUUGGAUGAUGGAGCCUGAACUUUUGAAAGGUACUUUUAAUUUUUUUUCCAACAUAGACUUUUUAAAUAAUAGUCUUAUUUGAGUGGAACCCCCCAACAAACUAGGCUGAUACCUCAUACUCAUAAGAAAGACACUUAUUGAAGUCAUCUUCUAAAAAUUCAGCCCCAGAAUGUAGGUGGUAAGUAAGCGGUAGCUGUUGUUUAAGCCUUUUGUUGGAAAACUUUGAAACAUGGAAUUGCAGCAGCUUUGUUGAUGUGAUGAAUUUCAGGAAGUAUUCAUGCUGCCGUAGCAGUUGAUACAUGAUUGUUUAGGUUAUGUAUAUUUAUUGUGUGUGUGUAUAUCGACCAUUGUGUAAAACUAAGAUCAUGGCAGAGUUUUCCAUCAUAAACUGCAGUUGACAGAACAGUAACCAGAAACUUUAAGAUCCUUUCUCCUUUCUUUAUCCAAAUGUGCAUGCUGAAUUUUUGCUUUAUCUGUCUCUGUCAUGGUUUUGCUGCAGUUAUCUUCAGAAAAUUAUUUACCAAUUAUUUCUGUAAGUGGUGCACUCCACAGUGACUUACUUGGUUGACUCUAUCCGGAAAAAAAUCUGUAAACAUAGAAGGUAGCUUCUUGAAGUGAACUGUGCUUUAUUUUCAGUAUUUACAGUAGGUUGAUUAAUAAUGCCCUUAAACAUUGAAGGGAGAAGCUUAAUAGCUGCUUAAUGAUGUUAAUAACAGGUGAUAGAUUUAAAAUGUUGAUGUAUUUAACAGAUAAACAUUGAAUUUAUUUUUAUAUCAAGCUGAGAUGUUUUUUUUUUCCCAUGAUGAAAGCUUUCAUGUGCUAUAUUUUUAUUUUUUUGCAGCUAGGUACUAAUGGGCUGCAGUGAAAUGGAAGGGAAUAAUUUCUUAAAGAUUUCUGGUAGCAGAGGAAAUAAGUGAAUCUCUGUGACUUAGUACAAGAUCUCCAAAAUGAUUUUUGCAGUAUUACUACUGUUAUUGUAAAAGGAGUUAGGGAGAAAACAGUGAAUCUAGGAAUUGGUUUGUAAUUCAUAAGUUUUAUCAUAACCAUGCUAAUGUAAAAUUGUGUUGUCCUUCAUUAUUGUGAAGGAUGAGGAAUAUAUAUUUUUUCUGACAAUGCGUUUAAAACUAAAUAAAAAUACCAUAACAUUUUUUGAGGAAAUGCA
rnacentral:lncRNA from 1 species